UCCUACGGGAGGCAGCAGUGGGGAAUAUUGGACAAUGGGGGGAACCCUGAUCCAGCCAUGCCGCGUGUGUGAAGAAGGCCUUAUGGUUGUAAAGCACUUUAAGCGAGGAGGAGGCUACUUUAGUUAAUACCUAGAGAUAGUGGACGUUACUCGCAGAA
rnacentral:rRNA from 1 species